UCCACCUCCCACCCCAUCGCCGCCGCAGGCUUUGACUCCAUCGCCUCUCCCUCCUCUUCGUCUCCGGCCGGCCAGGUACUCCUCCCCGCCGCCCGCCGGCCGUUCCCGCGCCGGUGGUUACCUCCUCUCGCUCGUACGCCGUCGCAUUUGUAGGUCGAUCUGGUCGGUUUCGUUUCUUAGCCUGUCGCGUGAGCUGAUUACCUAGAUGGCUAGAUCUGCUCGGUUAGCCCGUUCGCCUUGAUUUCGAGCCUGUCGCAUGAACUUUGUGUUAGUCUCCGAGGCUCUGGAUCUCUUGAAGUUUGCAUGCUAAUCACCGUCUUGUUAUAGUUGGUAACUUGAUGCGAUCUGUGUGUCUCUUGUUCUAAACUAGACCUGCUGUAGAGCGAUUAGUUUAUUUGCAACCCUUGGGCUAGUUAGAUGAGGAUCUCGUGAUAUUUAAUCCUGCAGCUCCAGUUUGUAUUAUCCUAGUUUAGAUGUGUAUUGUUUGGACUGGUCUUUGUUAGCAAAUUGGAGAUGCAAAAGUGCCCAUAGUCUAAUGGUAAAGACUGAAGGCCUCCUUGCGGGGCCUUCUCAUAUAGGUUCGAUUCCUAUUGGGUGCUUCUGCAGACGAUCCCCUGCAUCUCCAAUUUGCUCUCAACCUGAAUUGCCUUGUUAAGUAGUUGCCUUGCCUGCUAAUCUUGUCCCAUCGGAUUAGAACAUGCUUGGCUACUUGACAAGGUAUUCUGGUCUAUGUUUAUCUUAAUCUUCUGUUAAGAAUCGUUUGGAUUAGUUUUGCAUGCCUUAUGUGAUGAAUUUGAAUAAUUGUAGUGGUGCUAUCACUGAAUUUAACUGUUUUCACUGGCACUGUUUGUGUCUGUUGGUGGUUUGUUGCUGUAUUAUUAGUUCAAUUCUAUUUGUUAUGUAGUUUCAAGUCUAGUUCUGAUUGCCUGUCAAGUAUUGCCUGAUAAUUUAUAUAUUUGUCAACGAUUGUAUGUUUUCAUAGUAUUGUUUCAAAUUAUCACUGUCAUUGAAUUGCUACCAUUUGAAUAAGAAACAACUUCUCGAACUCAUAUCACCAUCCCUAAUUGUCUAUGCAGGUAGUUAACAGCUCCAGCAGCCAUGGGGAAGGAGAAGAUCCACAUCAGCAUUGUGGUCAUUGGCCAUGUCGACUCUGGCAAGUCAACCACGACCGGCCACCUCAUCUACAAGCUUGGAGGCAUUGACAAGCGUGUGAUCGAGAGGUUUGAGAAGGAAGC
rnacentral:lncRNA from 1 species